ACGAACGCUGGCGGCGUGCUUAACACCUGCAAGUCGCACGGAAAGGCCCUGCUUUUUUGUGGUGCUCUAGUGGCUAACGGGUUAUUAACACGUGAGUAACCUGCCCUUGUCUUUGGUUUAACUUCUGGAAACUGGGGCUAAUACCGGAUAGGAGCUCCUGCUGCAUGGUGGGGGUUGGAAAGUUUCGGCGGUUUGGGUUGGUCUCGCGGAUUAUCAGCUUGUUGGUGGGGUAGUUGCUUACCAAGGCUUUGCCGGGUAGACGUCCUGAGAGGGUGACCGUCCACAGGGGGAAGGAGAUACGGAGCAGACACCUACGGGAGGCAGCAGAGGGGAAUAUUGCACAAUGGGCGGAAGCCUGAUGCAGCAACGCCGCGUGAGGGAUGACGGCCUUCGGGUUGAAAACCGCUUUCGCAUGUGACGAAGCGUGAGUGACGGUAAAGGGUAAAGAAGCACCGGCUAACUAC
rnacentral:rRNA from 1 species